rnacentral:rRNA from 1 species
AUUGAACGCUGGCGGCAGGCCUAACACAUGCAAGUCGAGCGGAUGAAGGGAGCUUGCUCCUGGAUUCAGCGGCGGACGGGUGAGUAAUGCCUAGGAAUCUGCCUGGUAUUGGGGGAUAACGUCCGGAAACGGGCGCUAAUACCGCAUACGUCCUGAGGGAGAAAGUGGGGGAUCUUCGGACCUCACGCUAUCAGCUGAUCCUAGGUCGGAUUAGCUAGUUGGUGGGGUAAAGGCCUACCAAGGCGACGAUCCGUAACUGGUCUGAGAGGAUGAUCAGUCACACUGGAACUGAGACACGGUCCAGACUCCUACGGGAGGCAGCAGUGGGGAAUAUUGGACAAUGGGCGAAAGCCUGAUCCAGCCAUGCCGCGUGUGUGAAGAAGGUCUUCGGAUUGUAAAGCACUUUAAGUUGGGAGGAAGGGCAGUAAGUUAAUACCUUGCUGUUUUGACGUUACCAACAGAAUAAGCACCGGCUAACUACGUG